AUUGAACGCUGGCGCCAGGCCUAACACAUGCAACUCGAGCGGAUGAUGGGCGCUUGCCCCUGGAUUCAGCGGCGGACGGGAGAGUAAUGCCUAGGAAACUGCCUGGUAGCGGGGGAUACCGUCCGGAAACGGGAGCCAAUACCGACUACGUCAUGAGGAAGAAAGUGGGGGUUCUUCGGACCUCGCGAUUUCAUAUGAGCCUGGGUCGGUAUAACUAGUAGGUGGGGUAAAGGCCUACCAAGGCGACGAUCCGUAACUGGUCUGAGAGGAUGAUCAACCACACUGUAACUGAGACACGGUCCAGACUCCUACGGGAGGCAGCAGUGUGGAAUAUUGGACGAUGGGCGAAAGCCUGAGCCAGCCAUGCCACGUGUGUCAAGAAGGUCUUCGGAUUGUAAAGCACUUUAAGUUGGGAGGAAGGGCAGUAAGUUAAUACCUUGCUGUUUUGACGUUACCAACAGAAGAAGCACCGGCUAACUUCGUG
rnacentral:rRNA from 1 species